rnacentral:rRNA from 1 species
GCGAACGUUGGUGGUAGGCCUAACACAUGCAAGUCGAGCGCCCGGGCAACCGGGAGCGGCAGACGGGAGAGUAACACGUGGGAACGUACCCUUUAGUUCGGAACAACCCAGGGAAACUUGGGCUAAUACUGAAUACGUUCGUAAGGAGAAAGAUUUAUCGCUGAAGGAUCGGCCCGUGUCUGAUUAGCUAGUUGGUGAGGUAACGGCUCACCAAGGCGACGAUCAGUAGCUGGUCUGAGAGGAUGAUCAGCCUCAUUGGGACUGAGACACGGCCCAAACUCCUAUGGGAGGCAGCAGUGGGGAAUAUUGGACAAUGGGCGCAAGUCUGAUCCAGCCAUGCCGCGUGGGUGAUGAAGGCCCUAGGGUUGUAAAGCCCUUUCGGCGGGGAAGAUAAUGACGGUACCCGCAGAAGAAGCCCUGGCUAACUUCGU